CCGCUCAGGACGAACGCUGGCGGCGUGCCUAAUACAUGCAAGUCGAGCGAACAGAAGGGAGCUUGCUCCCGGAUGUUAGCGGCGGACGGGUGAGUAACACGUGGGUAACCUGCCUGUAAGACUGGGAUAACUCCGGGAAACCGGAGCUAAUACCGGAUAGUUCCUUGAACCGCAUGGUUCAAGGAUGAAAGACGGUUUCGGCUGUCACUUACAGAUGGACCCGCGGCGCAUUAGCUAGUUGGUGGGGUAAUGGCUCACCAAGGCGACGAUGCGUAGCCGACCUGAGAGGGUGAUCGGCCACACUGGGACUGAGACACGGCCCAGACUCCUACGGGAGGCAGCAGUAGGGAAUCUUCCGCAAUGGACGAAAGUCUGACGGAGCAACGCCGCGUGAGUGAUGAAGGUUUUCGGAUCGUAAAGCUCUGUUGUUAGGGAAGAACAAGUGCGAGAGUAACUGCUCGCACCUUGACGGUACCUAACCAGAAAGCCACGGCUAACUACGUGCCAGCAGCCGCGGUAAUACGUAGGUGGCAAGCGUUGUCCGGAAUUAUUGGGCGUAAAGGGCUCGCAGGCGGUUUCUUAAGUCUGAUGUGAAAGCCCCCGGCUCAACCGGGGAGGGUCAUUGGAAACUGGGAAACUUGAGUGCAGAAGAGGAGAGUGGAAUUCCACGUGUAGCGGUGAAAUGCGUAGAGAUGUGGAGGAACACCAGUGGCGAAGGCGACUCUCUGGUCUGUAACUGACGCUGAGGAGCGAAAGCGUGGGGAGCGAACAGGAUUAGAUACCCUGGUAGUCCACGCCGUAAACGAUGAGUGCUAAGUGUUAGGGGGUUUCCGCCCCUUAGUGCUGCAGCUAACGCAUUAAGCACUCCGCCUGGGGAGUACGGUCGCAAGACUGAAACUCAAAGGAAUUGACGGGGGCCCGCACAAGCGGUGGAGCAUGUGGUUUAAUUCGAAGCAACGCGAAGAACCUUACCAGGUCUUGACAUCCUCUGACAACCCUAGAGAUAGGGCUUUCCCUUCGGGGACAGAGUGACAGGUGGUGCAUGGUUGUCGUCAGCUCGUGUCGUGAGAUGUUGGGUUAAGUCCCGCAACGAGCGCAACCCUUGAUCUUAGUUGCCAGCAUUUAGUUGGGCACUCUAAGGUGACUGCCGGUGACAAACCGGAGGAAGGUGGGGGAUGACGUCAAAUCAUCAUGCCCCUUAUGACCUGGGCUACACACGUGCUACAAUGGACAGAACAAAGGGCUGCGAGACCGCAAGGUUUAGCCAAUCCCAUAAAUCUGUUCUCAGUUCGGAUCGCAGUCUGCAACUCGACUGCGUGAAGCUGGAAUCGCUAGUAAUCGCGGAUCAGCAUGCCGCGGGUGAAUACGUUCCCGGGCCUUGUACACACCGCCCGUCACACCACGGAGAGUUUGCAACACCCGAAGUCCGGUGAGGUAACCUUUAUGGAGCCAGCCGCCGAAGGUGGGGCAGAUGAUUGGGGGUGAGUCUACAAAGGGAGGGGGCGCCUAUAUAUAAAUCUUUUUUUUUUCCCCCUUUUUUUUUUUUUUUU
rnacentral:rRNA from 1 species